rnacentral:rRNA from 1 species
GACGAACGCUGGCGGCGUGCUUAACACAUGCAAGUCGAACGGAAAGGCCCUGCUUUUGUGGGGUGCUCGAGUGGCGAACGGGUGAGUAACACGUGAGUAACCUGCCCUUGACUUUGGGAUAACUUCAGGAAACUGGGGCUAAUACCGGAUAGGAGCUCCUGCUGCAUGGUGGGGGUUGGAAAGUUUCGGCGGUUGGGGAUGGACUCGCGGCUUAUCAGCUUGUUGGUGGGGGAGUGGCUUACCAAGGCUUUGACGGGUAGCCGGCCUGAGAGGGUGACCGGCCACAUUGGGACUGAGAUACGGCCCAGACUCAUACGGGAGGCAGCAGUGGGGAAUAUUGCACAAUGGGCGGAAGCCUGAUGCAGCAACGCCGCGUGCGGGAUGACGGCCUUCGGGUUGUAAACCGCUUUCGCCUGUGACGAAGCGUGAGUGACGGUAAUGGGUAAAGAAGCACCGGCUAACUACGUG